AUGAAGACGACAAAUACCACCCUCCUCCAGGGAGUCCAAGCUCCUCUUCUUCCUGCAGUAAUGUCUCAAUCUGCUCAGGCCUUUCACCUCAAUCUGGUUUACCGAGAGGAUGGAGUCGCACAGAAGAAGUCCAUCACUAAACCCCCUGGGAAGAGGCGCAUGAAAAAGCGCACUGAUGGCUAUGUUCUUACUCAUAGCUUUCAGUCAGGUGAAUGGAGCAGAGACCUGGAGGGCGAAACCUCCACAGAACUGCAUGACAGGCCUGUCAAUUUUCCAUCUGUUUCAAACAACAAAUAUUACAUUGCGUCUCAAAAAAAGGUAAACAAAAUAUGAAAGUAAAAUGCAUGUUUUGGGCACUUGUGAUCCAUAUACAGCACCUGCAGCAGUAUUUCAAUCACUGAACUGUAGAGUAUUCACUAUAAGUACCUUAAAGUAAUAAAAUAGUAGAAUUAAAAGAUCA
ensembl:lncRNA